rnacentral:rRNA from 1 species
UACGGGGGGGGCAAGCGUUGUUCGGAAUUACUGGGCGUAAAGGGCUUGUAGGUGGCCAACUAAGUCAGACGUGAAAUCCCUCGGCUUAACCGGGGAACUGCGUCUGAUACUGGAUGGCUCGAGUGUGGGAGAGGGAUGCGGAAUUCCAGGUGUAGCGGUGAAAUGCGUAGAUAUUAGGAAGAACACCGGUGGCGAAGGCGGCCCACUGGCUCGACACUGACGCUGAGGUGCGAAAGCGUGGGGAGCAAACAGG